AGUUGGUUCAAGAGUUGUGGUUUAUUGUUAAGCUGUUUAACAUUGUCUGCCAUCCACAACCGCAUUUGACUGACUUAAGAUUUU
rfam:Erinaceus europaeus cont1.447404, whole genome shotgun sequence.